rnacentral:tRNA from 1 species
GUGCCCGUAGCUCAGUUGGAUAGAGCGUCAGACUCCGGAUCUGAAGGUCGUGGGUUCGAGUCCCGCCGGGCACACCA